rnacentral:rRNA from 1 species
ACGAACGCUGGCGGCGUGCUUAACACAUGCAAGUCGAGCGAUGAAGUUUCUUCGGAAAUGGAUUAGCGGCGAACGGGUGAGGAACACGUGAAGAAUCUGCCCUCCACUUUGGGAUAACACAGGGAAACCUGUGCUAAUACCGAAUAUUGAAACAUAAGUGGCAUCACUGAGUUUUGAAAGAAUUUCGGUGGAGGAUGACUUCGCGGUCUAUCACCUAGUUGGUGAGGUAAUGGCUCACCAAGGCAACGACGGGUAGCCGGCCUGAGAGGGCGACCGGCCACACUGGGACUGAGACACGGCCCAGACUCCUACGGGAGGCAGCAGUGGGGAAUAUUGGGCAAUGGAGGAAACUCUGACCCAGCGACGCCGCGUGCGGGAUGAAGGCCUUCGGGUUGUAAACCGCUUUCAGCAGGGAAGAAGCGAAAGUGACGGUACCUGCAGAAGAAGCACCGGCUAACUAUGUGCCAGCAGCCGCGGUAAUACAUAGGGUGCAAGCGUUGUCCGGAAUUAUUGGGCGUAAAGAGCUCGUAGGUGGUUCGUCACGUCGGAUGUGAAACUCUGGGGCUUAACUCCAGACCUGCAUUCGAUACGGGCGAGCUUGAGUAUGGUAGGGGAGUCUGGAAUUCCUGGUGUAGCGGUGGAAUGCGCAGAUAUCAGGAGGAACACCAAUGGCGAAGGCAGGACUCUGGGCCAUUACUGACACUGAGGAGCGAAAGCGUGGGGAGCGAACAGGAUUAGAUACCCUGGUAGUCCACGCCGUAAACGGUGGGCACUAGUUGUGGGGACCUUCCACGGUCUCUGCGACGCAGCUAACGCAUUAAGUGCCCCGCCUGGGGAGUA